UAACCGUACCCGGGGGAAACCGGGGACUAAUACCGGAUAACACAUUAAACCGCAUGGUUUCAUGAUGAAAGACGGUUUUGCUGUCACUUAUAGAUGGACCCGCGGCGUAUUAGCUAGUUGGUAAGGUAACGGCUUACCAAGGCAACGAUACGUAGCCGACCUGAGAGGGUGAUCGGCCACACUGGAACUGAGACACGGUCCAGACUCCUACGGGAGGCAGCAGCA
rnacentral:rRNA from 1 species